UAAACUGAAGAGUUUGAUCCUGGCUCAGAUUGAACGCUGGCGGAAUGCUUUACACAUGCAAGUCGAACGGCAGCACGGGGGCUUGCUCCUGGUGGCGAGUGGCGAACGGGUGAGUAAUGUAUCGGAACGUACCCAGUCGUGGGGGAUAACUCUCCGAAAGGAGAGCUAAUACCGCAUACGUCCUGAGGGAGAAAGCGGGGGACCUAAGGGUAACUGAGGGCCUCGCGCGAUUGGAGCGGCCGAUAUCGGAUUAGCUAGUUGGUGGGGUAAAGGCUCACCAAGGCGACGAUCCGUAGCGGGUCUGAGAGGACGACCCGCCACACUGGAACUGAGACACGGUCCAGACUCCUACGGGAGGCAGCAGUGGGGAAUUUUGGACAAUGGGGGCAACCCUGAUCCAGCCAUUCCGCGUGAGUGAAGAAGGCCUUCGGGUUGUAAAGCUCUUUCAGCAGGAACGAAACGGCAGGUCUUAAUACGGCUUGCUAAUGACGGUACCUGCAGAAGAAGCACCGGCUAACUACGUGCCAGCAGCCGCGGUAAUACGUAGGGUGCGAGCGUUAAUCGGAAUUACUGGGCGUAAAGCGUGCGCAGGCGGUGACAUAAGACAGAUGUGAAAUCCCCGGGCUCAACCUGGGAACUGCGUUUGUGACUGUGUUACUAGAGUGUAGCAGAGGGGGGUGGAAUUCCACGUGUAGCAGUGAAAUGCGUAGAGAUGUGGAGGAACACCGAUGGCGAAGGCAGCCCCCUGGGUUAACACUGACGCUCAUGCACGAAAGCGUGGGGAGCAAACAGGAUUAGAUACCCUGGUAGUCCACGCCCUAAACGAUGCCAACUAGGUGUUGGGGAAGGAGACUUCCUUAGUACCGUAGCUAACGCGUGAAGUUGGCCGCCUGGGGAGUACGGUCGCAAGAUUAAAACUCAAAGGAAUUGACGGGGACCCGCACAAGCGGUGGAUGAUGUGGAUUAAUUCGAUGCAACGCGAAAAACCUUACCUACCCUUGACAUGUCCGGAAUCCCGGAGAGAUUUGGGAGUGCUCGCAAGAGAACCGGAACACAGGUGCUGCAUGGCUGUCGUCAGCUCGUGUCGUGAGAUGUUGGGUUAAGUCCCGCAACGAGCGCAACCCUUGUCAUUAGUUGCCACCAUUUAGUUGGGCACUCUAAUGAGACUGCCGGUGACAAACCGGAGGAAGGUGGGGAUGACGUCAAGUCCUCAUGGCCCUUAUGGGUAGGGCUUCACACGUCAUACAAUGGUCGGUACAGAGGGUUGCCAACCCGCGAGGGGGAGCUAAUCUCACAAAGCCGAUCGUAGUCCGGAUCGCAGUCUGCAACUCGACUGCGUGAAGUCGGAAUCGCUAGUAAUCGUGGAUCAGCAUGUCACGGUGAAUACGUUCCCGGGUCUUGUACACACCGCCCGUCACACCAUGGGAGUGGGUUCCACCAGAAGUGGGUAGUCUAACCGUGCACCGGCGUAAGUUGGCGUGCGGGGGGCGCUUACCACGGUGGGGUUCAUGACUGGGGUGAAGUCGUAACAAGGUAGCCGUAGGGGAACCUGCGGCUGGAUCACCUCCUUUCU
rnacentral:rRNA from 1 species